rnacentral:rRNA from 1 species
UGGGGAAUAUUGGACAAUGGGCGAAAGCCUGAUCCAGCCAUGCCGCGUGUGAAGAAGGUCUUCGGAUUGUAAAGCACUUUAAGUUGGGAGGAAGGGCAGUAAAUUAAUACUUUGCUGUUUUGACGUUACCGACAGAAUAAGCACCGGCUAACUCUGUGCCAGCAGCCGCGGUAAUACAGAGGGUGCAAGCGUUAAUCGGAAUUACUGGGCGUAAAGCGCGCGUAGGUGGUUAGUUAAGUUGGAUGUGAAAUCCCCGGGCUCAACCUGGGAACUGCAUUCAAAACUGACUGACUAGAGUAUGGUAGAGGGUGGUGGAAUUUCCUGUGUAGCGGUGAAAUGCGUAGAUAUAGGAAGGAACACCAGUGGCGAAGGCGACCACCUGGACUGAUACUGACACUGAGGUGCGAAAGCGUGGGGAGCAAACAGG